rnacentral:lncRNA from 1 species
GACUUGACAGUUGGACAUUCUAUCUAGAUCUGAAUCUCAAUUGAUCGUAUCCUCCGCUCAAUUCCCAUCGCCAUCUUCCAGGUUCCACCCGCGAUGGUCAUCUCCUCUAAUCGAUGCCCGCUAGAGCGCCACUGAUGAUUCGCGGUUGAGUUACGGAAGAACCACCAGACAACCAUCAUCACUGCUGGAAUCCUUGUCGGUCGACUCCUCUUCGCUUCAAUCCUUAUGUCAGCCAUGGACAGGCGUUUCAAAGUGCAGCGCUUUUUGAUUCUUUAACGGUUCGGGAUAAUGUUGGUUUUCUUAUGUAUGAGCAUUCAAGAAUGCCCGAGGAUAAAAUUAAAGAACUUGUUGCAGAAACAUUGGUUGCAGUUGGAUUAAAGGUGAGUCAUUUUUUUGUUUAAGCAAAUCAAACACCUUUAGUGGCGUCAUUUUUUUGUUUAUACGAUCACUAGGUGGGUAGUUGCACUACCAUGUGGAGUUCAUAAACUUACAAAGGCUUUCAAGCUAGAUCUUGCUAUAUAUUCCAGCUUACAAGUAUGUUUGUUUGCUACUAUCAAUUGUUUUAUCUUUUAUGUCCCUAAGGUUUUCCGACUUCUUUUGAUUAGUGUUCUAGUUGAGACUGUAAUUUAUGUGGUUUUCAGUUGGAAUUGACGACUAAUAUUUCUAUUUAUUAAUAAGAAGGAUGCUAAACCUUGCGCACUGGUUGCACUGUGGAAGGCUAACACCUUUAGUGGAGCAAUGAAGAUUUUGAAGACCACUCACUUAAGGAACCAUGUCGUUGUGUGAAGAGUAGAGGAAUACUCGGCGUUGGAUAUGGAUGGCAUUUGCGAAGAAUGGUCGAGUUAGGCAACAACUUUUGUUUUUAAGUGACAAACUGUAUUUUAGGUAUCAGCGAAUGUAUUGUCAAACAAUAUUUUUGUUAAUGUAAAAAUAUUUGUAGUAUAAUUGCAAAUGAUUAUGCAUGGGUUUU